rnacentral:rRNA from 1 species
GGGCUUCGGCCUGGUUAUUCAUAACCCUUUGUUGUCCGACUCUGUUGCCUCCGGGGCGGCCCUGCCUUCGGGCGGGGGCUCCGGGUGGACACUUCAAACUCUUGCGUAACUUUGCAGUCUGAGUAAACUUAAUUAAUAAAUUAAAACUUUUAACAACGGAUCUCUUGGUUCUGGCAUCGAUGAAGAACGCAGCGAAAUGCGAUAAGUAAUGUGAAUUGCAGAACUCAGUGAAUCAUCGAAUCUUUGAACGCACAUUGCGCCCCCUGGUAUUCCGGGGGGCAUGCCUGUUCGAGCGUCAUUUCACCACUCAAGCCUCGCUUGGUAUUGGGCAACGCGGUCCGCCGCGUGCCUCAAAUCGUCCGGCUGGGUCUUCUGUCCCCUAAGCGUUGUGGAAACUAUUCGCUAAAGGGUGUUCGGGAGGCUACGCCGUAAAACAACCCCAUUUCUAAGGUUGACCUCGGAUCAGGUAGGGAUACCCGCUGAACUUAAGCAUAUCAAUAAGCGGAGGAAAAGAAACCAACAGGGAUUGCUCUAGUAACGGCGAGUGAAGCAGCAAUAGCUCAAAUUUGAAAUCUGGCGUCUUCGACGUCCGAGUUGUAAUUUGUAGAGGAUGCUUCUGAGUGGCCACCGACCUAAGUUCCUUGGAACAGGACGUCAUAGAGGGUGAGAAUCCCGUAUGCGGUCGGAAAGGCGCUCUAUACGUAGCUCCUUCGACGAGUCGAGUUGUUUGGGAAUGCAGCUCUAAAUGGGAGGUAAAUUUCUUCUAAAGCUAAAUAUUGGCCAGAGACCGAUAGCGCACAAGUAGAGUGAUCG